GACGGGGGGGGGCAAGUGUUCUUCGGAAUGACUGGGCGUAAAGGGCACGUAGGCGGUGAAUCGGGUUGAAAGUGAAAGUCGCCAAAAAGUGGCGGAAUGCUCUCGAAACCAAAUUCACUUGAGUGAGACAGAGGAGAGUGGAAUUUCGUGUGUAGGGGUGAAAUCCGUAGAUCUACGAAGGAACGCCAAAAGCGAAGGCAGCUCUCUGGGUCCCUACCGACGCUGGGGUGCGAAAGCUGGGGAGCGAACAGG
rnacentral:rRNA from 1 species